CGGAGACGUGUCCCCGGACACCACGGGCGACUUGUACACGAUCUCCGCCCCGUGGUCCGUCUUGGCUUUGGCGUUCUCACGGAAGGGACGUGGGUGAUGUUAUCCAGAGACCCGAUCUUCGACUGGACCCUGUCCUUGAAGUCCAGCUUCUCGGAUUUGACUUCCACCUGGCCGCCUCCUGGAACACAGCACACACGAAUUAGUGUGGUUUCGAGAGUCAUUCCCGGGAGCACCGACCUCUGGGAGCAGCGAGGACGCGCCUUCACUUAGAAAGUAGCUGGGGCACCAGUCAGUCCUUCUAAAGGGCUUGGGAAGAGUUUGCUUCUUCUCUCUAAUCAAGGUAUGCAUCCAAUGUUUACGCAGAAAACUUCCUCCUCAGAUAAGGCAGAGGUAAGUGACCGCUCGUCGGGGAGAAGUUACUCCCCGUUCUAAACUGGAUGGCUUCCAGAGAGGGAAGUCCUUCUGUGUCAACAUCCUGGAAGCUGCCGCCCUGCAAGACCUUGGAAUUAAACUGAAGGCAAAAGGCACCCCAAAUAAAGAAGGGCCCUGGCCCUCCUGCCCCCUUAGACACUCGAUGCCACCCACACCCACGGCGGAGACACGGUCUGAGGGUGAGAGAAACGACAGCUGACCCUUGAACAACUGCAUGGUCCGCUUAUACGAAUAUUUUUUUCAAUAAAUAUUGUGUCUAUUCCUUAUGAA